rnacentral:rRNA from 1 species
GGUUGAUCCUGCCAGUAGUCAUAUGCUUGUCUCAAAGAUUAAGCCAUGCAUGUCUAAGUAUAAGCUUUUUAUACGGCGAAACUGCGAAUGGCUCAUUAAAACAGUUAUAGUUUACUUGAUAAUCAAAACUACAUGGAUAACCGUGGUAAUUCUAGAGCUAAUACAUGCGAAAAAACCCAACUUCGCGGAAGGGUUGUAUUUAUUAGAUAAAGAACCAAUGAGCUUGGUGAUUCAUAAUAACUUUACGGAUCGCAUCUCUGAUGCGACAUAUCAUUCAAGUUUCUGACCUAUC